AUCACUUCUUGGCUUUCUGGUUAAGAUCAAGUGUA
rnacentral:snRNA from 1 species